rfam:Neurospora crassa OR74A linkage group V, whole genome shotgun sequence.
UAACCUCGGAUUAAGUAGGAAUACCUAUUAAACUUAAAUAUAUUAAUAAGCGGAAGAAAAAAAACCAAUAGGGAUUGCCCUAAUAACGGCGAGUAAAGCGGUAAUAGUUCAAAUUUAAAAUUUAACUUCGGCCCGAAUUGUAAUUUAUAAAGGAAGCUUUUAGUAAGGCACCUUCUAAAUCCCCUAGAACGGAGCGCUAUAGAGGGUAAAAGCCCUAUAUAGUCGGAUGCCGAUCUAAUAUAAAGCUCCUUCGAUAAAUCGAAUAAUUUAGGAAUACUAUUUAAAAUAGGAGGUAAAUUUCUUCUAAAGCUAAAUACCGGCUAAAGACCGAUAACGUACAAAUAGAAUAAUUGAAAAAUAAAAAACACUUUAAAAAGAAGGUUAAAUAAUACGUAAAAUUAUUAAAAGGGAAGCGUUUAUAACUAAAUUUAUACUAUUCCAAUUAUUUAAUAUUCUUAUUAAUAUAUUUAGGAUAAUUUAAACUAGUAUUAAUUUUAGUAGGGGGAUAAAGGUCUAAAGAAUAUAACUCCUCUAGGAAUAUUAUAACCCCGGGUGUAAUGCCCUCGCCGGAAUUAAAAUUCGUAUAUCUAUAAAGAUAUUAGUAUAAUAAUUAUUAAUAAUCUAUCUUAAAAUACGGACUAAAGAAUUAAGGUUUUAUACGAAUAUUUAAAUAUAAAACCUAUACGCAUAAUAAAAAUAAAUGUAAGUAAAAACUUCGGCGUAUUAUCGACUAAUUUUAAUAUAUUCGGAUAGAUUUAAGUAAAAAUAUUAAACUUUAAACUUAAAAGAUAGUAAAUUAUAUUUAAAUAGGGUAAAGCUAGAGGAAACUUUAGUAGAGGUUCGCAAUAGUUCUAACGUAUAAAUCGAUUAUUAAAUUUAAAUAUAAGGGCGAAAGACUAAUCGAACUAUCUAAUAGCUAAUUACUACCGAAGUUUCCUUUAGGAUAGUAGUAUUGUUCUUCAAUUUUAUAAAGUAAAGCGAAUAAUUAAGGAUUCGGGGGCGCUUUUUAGCCUUUAUCUAUUCUUAAACUUUAAAUAUAUAAGAAGCCCUUAUUACUUAAUUAAAUAUAGACAUUUAAAUAUACUAAUACUAGUAAACUAUUUUUAAUAAAUAGAACUAAUAAUACGGAAUAAACCGAACGCGGGGUUAAGGUACUGGAAUAGACGUUUAUUAAAUACUAUAAAAGGCGUUAAUAUAUUUUAAUAGUAGGACGGUAGCUAUAAAAAUUGGAAUUUACUAAGGAUUAUAUAAUAAUUUACUUACUGAAUAUACUAGCCCUAAAAAUAGAUAGCGCUUAAAUAUCCUACCUAUACCCCGCCCUUAGGGUAGAAAUAAUACUCUAAAGAGUAAACGGCUGUAGAGGUUAAUAAUAAAGCCUAGGGCGUAAGCCCGGGUCGAACGGCCUUUAAUACAAAUUUUAGUAGUAGUAAUAAAUAUUUUAAUAAGAAUUUAAAGGACCGAAGUAGGGAAAGGUUCUAUAUAAAUAAUAGUUGGAUAUAGGUUAAUUGAUCCUAAACUAUAGGGAAAUUCUAUUUCAAAGGGGCACUUAUACCCUAUAUAGUAAAAGGGAAGCCGAUUAAUAUUCCGGUACCUAAAUAUAGGUUUUACGCAGCAACGCAACUAAAUAUAGAAAUAAUAGCGGGGGCCCUAAGUAGAAUUUUCUUUUCUUUUUAAUAGUCUAUUACCCUAAAAAUAAUUUAUUUAGAAAUAAGGUUUAAUAGCCGGAAGAGCCCAAUACUUCUAUUAAAUCCAAUAUAUUCUUAAUAUCCUUUAAAAAUCCGCGGGAGGGAAUAAUUCUUAUACUAAAUUAUACUUAUAACCAUAACAAAUCUCUAAGGUAAAUAGCCUCUAAUUAAUAGAAUAAUAUAAAUAAAAGAAAUUAGUAAAAUAGAUCCGUAACUUCAAGAAAAGGAUUAACUCUAAGGGUUAAAUACGUCGGAUUUUAAGCAAACGCCCUAAGAGUAGAUUGCUACUAGCCAAGUAAUUGGCUAGCGGCUUUUAAUAUCCGGGUAUAAAAGCCUUUAAUAAACUUCGGUUGUCCGGCGUAUAUUUAAUAACCAAUUUAAAACUAGUACAAAUAGGGGGAAUCUAACUAUCUAAUUAAAAUAUAGUAUUACAAUAGCUAAAAAGUAGUAUUAAUACAAUAUAAUUUUUACUUAAUAUUCUAAAUAUUAAAGUAAAAAAAUUCAACUAAGCGUAAAUAAAUAGUAGGAAUAAUUAUAAUUCUCUUAAAAUAAUUAAAUAUUUUAUUAUCUAAUUAGUAACGUAUAUAAAUAAAUUAAUAAAAUUCCUAUUAUCCCUAUCUACUAUCUAGUAAAACUAUAAUUAAAGGAACGGGUUUAAUAGAAUUAAUAGGGAAAAAAGACCCUAUUAAACUUAAUUUUAAUUUAAUAUUAUAAAAAAAUAUAGGAGGUAUAAAAUAGGUAGGAGCUUCAACGCUAGUAAAAUACUACUACUCCUAUUAUCUUUUUACUUAUUUAAUUAAACGGGGCUAGAUUUUCAUCCAACUUCUAAUUUUAAAGUCCUUCGCAGGCCGACUUAAAUUAAAGAUAUUAUUAAAUAAGGAGUUUAACUAAGGUAGCACAUUUAUUAAAUUAUAAUGUAGGUAUCCUAAGGGGGGCUUAUAGAGAAUAGAAAUCUCUAAUAGAACAAAAGGGUAAAAAUCCUUUUAAUUUUAAUUUUCAAUAUAAAUACAAACUAUAAAAGUAUAGCCUAUUAAUCCUUUAGUCCCUUAAAAUUUAAAAUUAGAAGUACUAGAAAAGUUACUAUAGGGAUAAUUAAUUUAUAGCGGCUAAACGUUUAUAGCAACAUCGCUUUUUAAUCCUUCAAUAUUAACUCUUUCUAUUAUACCGAAGUAGAAUUUAGUAAGUAUUAGAUUAUUUACCUACUAAUAGGGAAUGUAAAUUAAGUUUAAAUUAUUAUAAAAUAGGUUAGUUUUACCCUACUAAUAACCUUAUUGUAAUAAUAAUUAAAUUUAAUAUAAAAAGAACUAUUUAUUUAAAUAAUUAGUUUUUAUAAUUAUUUAACCGGGUAAUACUACAAUAUUACUAUCUAUUAGAUAAUAAUUAAACACCUCUAAAUUAAAAUCUAUAUUAGAAUAUAAUAAUACUUCUAAUAUAUUAUAGACGUAUAAGAAUAGGCUCCGGCCUCGUAUCUUAAUAAGCAAUUCCUCCGUUAGCCUUAAAGUAGCUAGCAGUAAUUCGUGUAUUAUAAUUUUAAUAUAUAUUAAAUUAAAUCCUUUAUAAACGACUUAAAUAUACGAAAGGGUCUUAUAAAUAAUAGAAUAACCUUAUUAUUACAAUCUACUAAGGGUAAACCCUCCUUCGCCUAAAUUUCC